CGGAGCCCCGAGCGCCUCGGGCUGGCGAGCCAGGGCUGCGGGUGGAGCCGGAGCAGCGCGGCGCCCGCCAAUCGCGCCGCGCCGGGGGAGGAGCCCCAAAGGGGGAAAAAGAAAGUGCGGCGGAAAGUAAGAGGCUCAUUGGGGGAAGACUGGCCGGAUCGGGGUCCCUGGGCUCCUCUUUGGCCAGACGCACCGAAAAGCAGCAGUGCUGGGCGACCCUGCACCCUUCCCCACCGGUUCGGUGUGCCCCGCGCUGCUUCCCAAGAAAGGAUGGGACUUCUGUGGUGUGUAAUGAGUCUCUACUUCUAUGGGAUCCUGCAAAGUGGUGCCUCAGAGCGCUGUGAUGACUGGGGACUAGACACCAUGAGGCAGAUCCAAGUGUUUGAAGAUGAGCCAGCUCGCAUCAAAUGCCCGCUCUUUGAACAUUUCUUGAAAUACAACUACAGCACAGCCCAUUCAGCUGGCCUUACUCUGAUCUGGUAUUGGACUAGGCAGGACCGGGACCUGGAGGAGCCAAUUAACUUCCGCCUCCCUGACAACCGCAUUAGUAAGGAGAAAGAUGUGCUCUGGUUCCGACCCACCCUCCUCAAUGACACGGGCAACUAUACCUGCAUGUUAAGGAACACCACGUAUUGCAGCAAAGUUGCAUUUCCUCUUGAAGUGGUUCAGAAAGAUAGCUGCUUCAAUUCCUCCAUGAAACUCCCAGUGCAUAGACUAUAUAUAGAAUAUGGUGUUCAGAAGAUCACUUGUCCAAAUGUAGAUGGAUUUUUUCCUUCCAGUGUCAAACCAACCAUCACUUGGUAUAUGGGCUGCCAUAAAAUACAGAACUUUAAUAAUGUAGUACCUGAAGGCAUGAGCUUGAGCUUUCUCAUAGCCUUGGUUUCAAACAAUGGAGAUUACACAUGCGUUGUUACAUAUCCAGAAAACGGGCGUACCUUCCAUCUCACUAGGACUCUGACUGUGAAGGUGGUAGGCUCUCCAAAAGACGCAUUGCCUCCUCAGAUCUACUCACCCAAUGAUCUUGUAGUCUACGAGAAAGAACCGGGUGAGGAGCUACUCAUCCCUUGUACAGUCUAUUUUACUUUCCUGAAGGAUGCCCGCAAUGAGGUUUGGUGGACCAUUGAUGGAAAAAAGCCAGACGACACCAAUAUUGAUGUAACUGUCAAUGAAAGUAUAAGUUUGACUACAACAGAAGAUGAAACGAGAACUCAGGUUUUGAGCAUCAAAAAAGUUACUGCUGAGGAUCUCAAGCGCAACUAUGUCUGUCAUGCUAGAAAUGCCAAAGGGGAGGUUGACAAACCAGCCAAGGUGAAACAGAAAGCUCCAAGAUACACAGUGGAAUUAGCAUGUGGUUUUGGAGCCACAGUGCUGCUGGUAGUGAUCCUCAUUGUUGUUUACCAUGUUUACUGGCUGGAGAUGGUCUUAUUUUACCGGGCUCAUUUUGGAACAGAUGAAACCAUUUUAGAUGGGAAAGAGUAUGAUAUUUAUGUAUCUUACGCAAGGAAUGCUGAGGAAGAAGAGUUUGUGUUACUGACCCUCCGUGGAGUUUUGGAGAAUGAAUUUGGAUACAAGCUGUGCAUCUUUGACCGUGACAGUCUGCCUGGGGGAAAUACAGUGGAAGCAGUUUUUGACUUCAUUCAGAGAAGCCGAAGGAUGAUUGUUGUCCUGAGCCCAGACUAUGUGACAGAAAAAAGUAUCAGCAUGCUGGAGUUUAAACUGGGUAUCAUGUGCCAGAACUCCAUUUCCACCAAGCUCAUUGUGGUUGAGUACCGCCCCCUUGAGCAUCCACACCCAAGCAUCCUGCAGCUGAAGGAAUCUGUGUCUUUUGUGAGCUGGAAGGGAGAAAAGUCCAAACACUCUGGCUCUAAAUUCUGGAAGGCCUUGCGGUUGGCUCUUCCCCUGAGAAGUCUGAGUGCCAGCUCCGGCUGGAACGAAAGCUGUUCUUCUCAGUCUGACAUCAGUCUGGACCAUGUUCAAAGGAGGAGAAGUCGUUUGAAAGAGCCCCCAGAACUCCAGGGCUCAGGGAGGGCUGCAGGCACCUCUUCAGCCCCAGAUACAAUGUCCAAGCACAGAGGGAAGCCCUCUGCGGCCUGUCGCUGCUGUGUCACCUACUGUGAAGGAGAGAGUCACCUCAGGAGCAAGAGCCGGGCAGAGAUUCAUACCCAGCCCCAGUGGGAGACACACCUGUGUAAGCCUGUUCCCCAAGAAUCAGAAACUCAAUGGAUACAAAAUGGCACCAGAUUGGAACCCCCUGCUCCCCAGAUCUCAGCCCUUGCUCUUCACCAUUUCACGGAUUUAUCCAAUAACAAUGACUUUUAUAUCCUAUAAUUACCGUAUGGUGGGUGGUGGCUGCUAUCCAUACCAGCCCUCUUUGUGUCAUGAACCUAUGGGAAUAACUGACAUUUUUAUCAUCUAGUGGACUACCAGACUGUGUCCCCUUUAUUGAUUUUUAAAAACUAUUUAUUUCUAGGAGACAAAAGACCUGAGGACCUGAAUCCAGAAUUAUUGCCUCUCUAAUGGCCUCAGAAGAGCACACUCUUCUUGGGCCCUAGAAGGCUCUGAUUUUCUCCAGCCAAGGAAGACUACAAAUCAUCCUUUAAACAAGGUGUUUGCAGGCAAUAGAUGAAAAUAUAGGGCAUGUUUAGCCCUUGGAGUUGCCUUGGCACAAGAAGACAAUUAAAUAGAGGAGCAGUUAGUGCAGUGUAUUUCUAAUAUAUGAAACAUCAAACACUGACAUCUGGAAUCUGGUAGGAUUGCUGUAAUCAUCACAUGUAUUAAUCAGAUUCAGAUAAGCUACAUUGUGCUAACAAAGAACUCCAACAUUUCAGUAGCUUUAUAUCACAAGAGUCAUUUCGUCUUUAUGCUAUAUGUCCAGAUACGAGCUUACAUUUCUGUAGUUCUGCCAUCUGAAAUGUGUGGCUUCCUGCUGUUCUGAACUUCUAAAUAUGACACUUAUUACUCUCACUUACAAUCCACUGGCCAAAACUAGCUGUGAGUGCUGAUCCAGUCAUAGAGAAGGCUGGAAAAUGCAUUCUUCCUGGGUUCCUGGGAAGAGAAAAAUGAAAUGGAACUUGGUGAACACAAAGCACUGUCUUAGCCUAAGAAUGAGAUAUUGAGAUUGCCUGAAGAGGCAAGAGAACUACAUACGGAGUUAUGUUAAAUACCUUGAUAAUGAAGGAAUGGAAGGACUUUCCUGCCAACACCCACCUCAGCUUGCCAAGGUGUCAGGUCAGGUAGUUGUGAAAAAAGAGUAUACGAAAAUGAAUACGCCUUGUCCAUAAUUUUCCCUAAGGAAAGUUACAGAAGGAAUGCAUAAUAAUGAUUACAGCUUCUGAUUAAGGAAAAGGAUUCUUAAAAAUUGGCAAGUUUCUGUAUUUGGUUAAUUUCCAUUCAGUGGCUUUAGGUAGUUUUCUAAGAAUGUGAUGCUCAAACCAUCUGCCAACGAGCCAUUUCAUUUUUGAAUAUCCAGGGAGUCUCAGAAGGAUUGAAGACAUUUAGAACACAGCAGAGCAUGUAACACGGUCAUUAGAAAGUCUCCCUUGAUCUAUUUAUCUGAAGAGCUAAAUGGGGAAUUCAAACUGAACAUGCUAGAGCUCAGAUGAAAGAAGAGAUAAACGUUGUUGUGGGUAUUAUGAAGUCGGCCGCCAUCUAUGCAUCUGCUCUCUCUAUGAUUUGGAUUCUUUGUAUUAAAGAUUUGAAUUUUUACGAC